rnacentral:rRNA from 1 species
CACGUAGGGCGCAAGCGUUGUCCGGAAUUAUUGGGCGUAAAGAGCUCGUAGGUGGUUUGUUACGUCUGCUGUGAAAACCUAGGGCUUAACCCUGGGCUUGCAGUGGAUACGGGCAGACUAGAGGUAGGUAGGGGAGAAUGGAAUUCCUGGUGUAGCGGUGAAAUGCGCAGAUAUCAGGAGGAACACCGAUGGCGAAGGCAGAUCUCUGGGCCGUAAAUGACGCUGAGGAGCGAAAGCAUGGGGAGCGAACAGG